GGGCCUAUGGGCUAGCCUGGUAUACUUGUGGCUUUGGGAGCCAUUGACUCCGGUUCAAAUCCGGAUAGGCCCACCA
rnacentral:tRNA from 1 species